GAAUAUUGGACAAUGGGCGGAAGCCUGAUACAGCAACGCCGCGUGAGGGAUGACGGCCUUCGGGUUGUAAACCUCUUUCAGUACCGACGAAGCGCAAGUGACGGUAGGUACAGAAGAAGCACCGGCCAACUACGUGCCAGCAGCCGCGGUAAUACGUAGGGUGCGAGCGUUGUCCGGAAUUAUUGGGCGUAAAGGGCUCGUAGGCGGUUUGUCGCGUCGGGAGUGAAAACCUCAUGCUUAACAUGUGGCUUUCUUUCGAUACGGGCAGACUAGAGGUAUGCAGGGGAGAACGGAAUUCCUGGUGUAGCGGUGAAAUGCGCAGAUAUCAGGAGGAACACCGGUGGCGAAGGCGGUUCUCUGGGCAUUACCUGACGCUGAGGAGCGAAAGUGUGGGGAGCGAACAG
rnacentral:rRNA from 1 species